AGAAUUUUUAAAAAAUAAUUUGUUCAGUUACUUUUUUGACCAUUCUCUCUUCUCUGAAAGCUGAAGCUUUGAGGAGCAAGAAGCAGUUUGAUCUGAGUGCUCUGCAGGAUGGCCGUGUCUCACAAUCCACCAUCCCUCGCAUCUGUCGCUUUGGAGAAGACUCCUAAGCUGCCCCUUCUAUUCCUGGUCUUCUUCUGAUUUACUGGUUGUAGUCUCCAUUCUGAUCAAUGUUUGAUCCAAGGGAAGAAUGAAGCACUUCAAAAAGUACAUGUGGGACACUGUAUUAUGGAAUUCUAAGCUGCUUUUAUUGUGUUAUUUGACUGUAUGUUGGAUUUUUGAAUUGUAUUUUUUGUAAUAAUAUGGAGGUUUGUUUGGGUACUUUUGUAUUAUGUAAUUGUUGUACACCGCCAUGAUCAUAGGAAUGGCGGUAUAUAAAUGAAAUAAAUAAUAAUAAUAAUAAUUCUGUCCCUGAUGGAUGAUAAUAGUUUUGCACAAUUUUCAUGAUUGUUCUGAUUUCAGAAUAUUUUGUGGAAAAUGUGUUGUAGUUUUGCACCAAAAUGUACAGAAACAGCACCUCUCCCCCUCUCCCAAUAUACUGUAAACACUUGUGGGUUUCUUCCCAUUUUUUUGGCACAAAAAUCUUGGAGAAGGUUUAAGCAAGUUUUGUUGUUUGUGUGAAAAAAAUUUCACUUCUCCUGGAAUGUGAAAAAUCUUGCAACAGUUCACCAUUUUCUUGAUGCACCAAGAUACUCUUUCUCACUGUGAAUUAGUGGGCAUUACUUGUAUCCAUUAUCCUUCUCAACAGUUUCCCUGUUUGUGCUUCUCGCUUUUGACAUCACAGUAACUAUAUGUUCACUGUGCCAUAAAUUAUCUGCCAUGCCUACUUGCUUGGCAAAAAGCUCGUGAUAUUUAGCCCGGAGAAAAAAGGGUUAA